GAUGAACGCUGGCGGCGUGCCUAAUACAUGCAAGUAGAACGCUGAAGGAGGAGCUUGCUCUUCUGGAUGAGUUGCGAACGGGUGAGUAACGCGUAGGUAACCUGCCUGGUAGCGGGGGAUAACUCUUGGAAACGAUAUCUAAUACCGCAUGACAACAGUUAUUGCAUGUUAUCUGUUCAAAAGGGGCACCUGCUCCACUACCAGAUGGACCUGCGUUGUAUUAGCUAGUUGGUGAGGUAACGGCUCACCAAGGCGACGAUACAUAGCCGACCUGAGAGGGUGAUCGGCCACACUGGGACUGAGACACGGCCCAGACUCCUACGGGAGGCAGCAGUAGGGAAUCUUCGGCAAUGGACGGAAGUCUGACCGAGCAACGCCGCGUGAGUGAAGAAGGUUUUCGGAUCGUAAAGCUCUGUUGUAAGAGAAGAACGAGUGUGAGAGUGGAAAGUUCACACUGUGACGGUAUCUUACCAGAAAGGGACGGCUAACUACGUG
rnacentral:rRNA from 1 species